rnacentral:rRNA from 1 species
UACGUAGGGACGACGCGUUGUUCGGAUUUACUGGGCGUAAAGGGCGCGUAGGCGGCUUAACAAGUCACUUGUGAAAUCUCCGGGCUUAACUCGGAACGGCCAAGUGAAACUGUCAAGCUAGAGUGCAGAAGGGGCAAUCGGAAUUCUUGGUGUAGCGGUGAAAUGCGUAGAUAUCAAGAGGAACACCUGAGGUGAAGACGGGUUGCUGGGCUGGCACUGACGCUGAGGCGCGAAAGCGUGGGGAGCGAACAGG